UGAAAUCGCCGGGCUCAACCGGGGAACUGCAUUCAAAACUGACUGACUAGAGUAUGGUAGAGGGUGGUGGAAUGUCCUGUGUAGCGGUUAAAUGCGUAGAUAUAGGAAGGAACACCAGUGGCGAAGGCGACCACCUGUACUAAUACUGACUCU
rnacentral:rRNA from 1 species